GAAAUAGCUCAGUUGCUUAGAGCGUGGUGCUCAUAAUGCCAAGGUUUCAGGUUCUAUCCCUGUACAGGACAGCUGCA